rnacentral:rRNA from 1 species
GCUUACGGCCAUACCAGCCUGGGUACCCCCGAUCUCGUCUGAUCUCGGAAGCUAAGCAGGGUCGGGCCUGGUUAGUACUUGUGGGAGACCGCCUGGGAAUACCAGGUGCUGUAAGCA